AUGCAAGCUGCAAGAGGGCGGCGGCAGAAGGCAGCUUCCCUGCCGUUGGAUGUUCUGGUGGACAUUGCGGCGCGCACCGACCCGGCCACCUUCGUGCGCUGUGCGGCCACUUGCGUGGACAUGCGCUGCCGCGUCAAGGAAUACAUCAGCCUCCGCGCCCCCCUCCGCCUCCAGCACGGCGACCGCUUCGUGCUCCCCCUCCUGCGCGGCCACCUGAUCUACGGGUCCCACGACUGGUCCAAGCCCAAGGAGAAGCUGUUUCUGCUGGACACCAGCGCACCGGAUGCCACCAAGCUGCGCACAUCAACCCGCGGGGGCUUUCCCCUCUCGUCGCGUGAUGGUCUCGUGCUCGGCCGUGUGGGCGUGGCCAAAGAGCUCCGUGUGUGCGACCCGGCCACCGGUAGGAGCCUGACCCUGCCAUCUGAACCGAUGUUUCGUGGGUGGUCUGAGAAAAGUUAUGUCUUGCUGGUUGGUGACUGUGAUAAGGCGGCCACCUCCGUUGGCCGGCAUUUUCAAGUGGUCAAGGCAUGUCUAGAUAUAUCACAAUAUGGCGGCAACCUGCAGUUCCAGACCUUCUCGACAGAGCAUGGCGCGUGGGGCCUCUACACCGAGACCUGGCUUCCUAACCUACAAAGCAGGUUUUAA
rnacentral:rRNA from 1 species